GAGCGCCCCGCAAGGGGAGCGGCAGACGGGAGAGUAACACGUGGGAACGUACCCUUCAGUUCGGAACAACCCAGGGAAACUUGGGCUAAUACCGGAUACGUCCGUAAGGAGAAAGAUUUAUCGCUGAAGGAUCGGCCCGCGUCUGAUUAGCUAGUUGGUGAGGUAACGGCUCACCAAGGCUACGAUCAGUAGCUGGUCUGAGAGGAUGAUCAGCCUCACUGGGACUGAGACACGGCCCAGACUCCUACGGGAGGCAGCAGUGGGGAAUAUUGGACAAUGGGCGCAAGCCUGAUCCAGCCAUGCCGCGUGGAUGAUGAAGGCCUUAGGGUUGUAAAAUCCUUUCGGCGGGGAAGAUAAUGACGGUACCCGCAGAAGAAGCCCCGGCUAACUUCGUGCCAGCAGCCGCGGUAAUACGAAGGGGGCUAGCGUUGCUCGGAAUCACUGGGCGUAAAGCGCACGUAGGCGGCUUUUUAAGUCAGGGGUGAAAUCCUGGAGCUCAACCCCAGAACUGCCUUUGAUACUGAGAGGCUUGAGUCCGGGAGAGGUGAGUGGAACUGCGAGUGUAGAGGUGAAAUUCGUAGAUAUUCGCAAGAACACCAGUGGCGAAGGCGGCUCACUGGCCCGGUACUGACGCUGAGGUGCGAAAGCGUGGGGA
rnacentral:rRNA from 1 species